UACGUAGGGUGCGAGCGUUAAUCGGAAUUACUGGGCGUAAAGCGUGCGCAGGCGGUUCGCAAAGUCUGAUGUGAAAGCCCCGGGCUCAACCUGGGAACUGCAUUGGAAACUAACGGGCUCGAGUGUGGCAGAGGGGGGUGGAAUUCCACGUGUAGCAGUGAAAUGCGUAGAUAUCUGGAGGAACACCGGUGGCGAAGGCGGCAUCCUGGACCAACACUGACACUGAGGAGCGAAAGCCAGGGGAGCAAACGGG
rnacentral:rRNA from 1 species